AUUGAACGCUGGCGGCAUGCCUUACACAUGCAAGUCGAACGGUAACAGGUCUUCGGAUGCUGACGAGUGGCGAACGGGUGAGUAAUACAUCGGAACGUGCCCGAUCGUGGGGGAUAACGGAGCGAAAGCUUUGCUAAUACCGCAUACGAUCUACGGAUGAAAGCAGGGGACCGCAAGGCCUUGCGCGGACGGAGCGGCCGAUGGCAGAUUAGGUAGUUGGUGGGAUAAAAGCUUACCAAGCCGACGAUCUGUAGCUGGUCUGAGAGGACGACCAGCCACACUGGGACUGAGACACGGCCCAGACUCCUACGGGAGGCAGCAGUGGGGAAUUUUGGACAAUGGGCGCAAGCCUGAUCCAGCCAUGCCGCGUGCAGGAUGAAGGCCUUCGGGUUGUAAACUGCUUUUGUACGGAACGAAACGGCUCUUUCUAAUAAAGAGGGCUAAUGACGGUACCGUAAGAAUAAGCACCGGCUAACUACGUGCCAGCAGCCGCGGUAAUACGUAGGGUGCGAGCGUUAAUCGGAAUUACUGGGCGUAAAGCGUGCGCAGGCGGUGAUGUAAGACAGAUGUGAAAUCCCCGGGCUCAACCUGGGAACUGCAUUUGUGACUGCAUCGCUGGAGUGCGGCAGAGGGGGAUGGAAUUCCGCGUGUAGCAGUGAAAUGCGUAGAUAUGCGGAGGAACACCGAUGGCGAAGGCAAUCCCCUGGGCCUGCACUGACGCUCAUGCACGAAAGCGUGGGGAGCAAACAGGAUUAGAUACUCUGGUAGUCCACGCCCUAAACGAUGUCAACUGGUUGUUGGGAAUUCACUUUCUCAGUAACGAAGCUACGCGUGAAGUUGACCGCCUGGGGAGUA
rnacentral:rRNA from 1 species